rnacentral:rRNA from 1 species
GACGAACGCUGGCGGCGUGCCUAAUACAUGCAAGUAGAACGCUGAAGAGAGGAGCUUGCUCUUCUUGGAUGAGUUGCGAACGGGUGAGUAACGCGUAGGUAACCUGCCUUGUAGCGGGGGAUAACUAUUGGAAACGAUAGCUAAUACCGCAUAACAAUGGAUGACACAUGUCAUUUAUUUGAAAGGGGCAAUUGCUCCACUACAAGAUGGACCUGCGUUGUAUUAGCUAGUAGGUGAGGUAACGGCUCACCUAGGCGACGAUACAUAGCCGACCCGAGAGGGUGAUCGGCCACACUGGGACUGAGACACGGCCCAGACUCCUACGGGAGGCAGCAGUAGGGAAUCUUCGGCAAUGGGGGCAACCCUGACCGAGCAACGCCGCGUGAGUGAAGAAGGUUUUCGGAUCGUAAAGCUCUGUUGUAAGUCAAGAACGAGUGUGAGAGUGGAAAGUUCACACUGUGACGGUAGCUUACCAGAAAGGGACGGCUAACUACGUG